rnacentral:rRNA from 1 species
UACGAAGGGGGCUAGCGUUGCUCGGAAUCACUGGGCGUAAAGGGUGCGUAGGCGGGUCUUUUAAGUCAGGGGUGAAAUCCUGGAGCUCAACUCCAGAACUGCCUUUGAUACUGAGAUCUUGAGUUCGGGAGAGGUGAGUGGAACUGCGAGUGUAGAGGUGAAAUUCGUAGAUAUUCGGAAGAACACCGGUGGCGAAGGCGGCGACCUGGUCCUU